rnacentral:rRNA from 1 species
GUGAACCUUUACUAUAGCUUGACACUGAACAUUGAGCCUUGAUGUGUAGGAUAGGUGGGAGGCUUUGAAGCGUGGACGCCAGUCUGCGUGGAGCCAACCUUGAAAUACCACCCUUUAAUGUUUGAUGUUCUAACGUUGGCCCCUGACCGGGGUUGCGGACAGUGUCUGGUGGGUAGUUUGACUGGGGCGGUCUCCUCCCAAAGCGUAACGGAGGAGCACGAAGGUUAGCUAAUCCUGGUCGGACAUCAGGAGGUUAGUGCAAUGGCAUAAGCUAGCUUGACUGCGAGCG